rnacentral:rRNA from 1 species
UACAGAGGUCCCAAGCGUUGUUCGGAUUCACUGGGCGUAAAGGGUGCGCAGGCGGUUCGUUAAGUCAGCUGUGAAAGCCCCGGGCUUAACCUGGGAAUGGCGUUUGGGACUGGAUAGCUGGAGUACGGCAGAGGGAGGUGGAAUUCCACGUGUAGCAGUGAAAUGCGUAGAGAUGUGGAGGAACACCGAUGGCGAAGGCAGCCUCCUGGGCCAGUACUGACGCUCAUGCACGAAAGCGUGGGGAGCAAACAGG